CGCCCAGCUUGUUUCAACAGUCGGAGCUCUCAGGUCUUCAUCUUCGUCCUCCCACUCUACACUGUCCUUUUCUUCAGACGCACUGAAAGAAGACUCAAAUGGCUGGAGGUGGACAAUUCACGGUUUCUAUGGAGUCCUCAUAGUCACCUGGGAUCCAGGCUACUUCCUGCUUCCCGCUCUGUCAUCCCUAGGGCACAGCCCCAGCCUCAGGUACAAGGUGGAGCUCCUGUCAUCAAAAUCAUGUUCCAGGCAAGGAAUGGAGGAAGGUACUUGCCAUCUAUCUCUCAAGGAAAUUUCCCAUGGGCUCUGGUUUGCAGGCUCGUGGCGCCACCUAACGCCUGUCGAGGACAUCGCUGCACAGGGAGAGGAUGCCUAACCAUAAACGUUG
rnacentral:lncRNA from 1 species